rnacentral:rRNA from 1 species
GAGUUUGAUCGUGGCUCAGGACGAACGCUGGCGGCGUGCCUAAUACAUGCAAGUCGAGCGAGUCUCUUCGGAGGCUAGCGGCGGACGGGUGAGUAACACGUAGGCAACCUGCCUCUCAGACCGGGAUAACAUAGGGGAAACUUAUGCUAAUACCGGAUAGGUUUUUGGAUUGCAUGAUCCGAAAAGAAAGAUGGCUUUCGCUAUCACUGGGAGAUGGGCCUGCGGCGCAUUAGCUAGUUGGUGGGUAACGGCCUACCAAGGCGACGAUGCGUAGCCGACCUGAGAGGGUGACCGGCCACACUGGGACUGAGACACGGCCCAGACUCCUACGGGAGGCAGCAGUAGGGAAUUUUCCACAAUGGACGAAAGUCUGAUGGAGCAACGCCGCGUGAACGAUGAAGUCUUCGGAUUGUAAAGUUCUGUUGUCAGGGACGAACACGUACCGUUCGAAUAGGGCGGUACCUUGACGGUACCUGACGAGAAAGCCACGGCUAACUACGUGCCAGCAGCCG